rnacentral:rRNA from 1 species
UACGUAGGGACCAAGCGUUGUUCGGAUUUACUGGGCGUAAAGGGCGCGUAGGCGGCAUGACAAGUCACUUGUGAAAUCUCUGGGCUUAACCCAGAACGGCCAAGUGAUACUGUCGCGCUAGAGUGCAGAAAGGGCAAUCGGAAUUCUUGGUGUAGCGGUGAAAUGCGUAGAUAUCAAGUGGAACACCAGUGGCGAAGGCGGAGUCCCUGGACGACUCCUGACACUGAGGCACGAAGAGCCGUAGGGGAGCAAAACAGGG